rnacentral:rRNA from 1 species
UCUGGAAUAAUACGCCGAAAGGGGUACUAAUACCGGAUAUCUUGCUUUCAUAAGUUAUGCAAGCAAAGGUGGCCUCUGCAUAUGCUACUGCAUGAAGAGGGGUCUGCGUACCAUUAGCUAGUAGGUGGGGUAAUGGCCUACCUAGGCGACGAUGGUUAGCGGGUCUGAGAGGAUGAUCCGCCACACUGGCACUGGAACACGGGCCAGACUCCUACGGGAGGCAGCAGUGAGGAAUAUUGCGCAAUGGGGGAAACCCUGACGCAGCGACGCCGCGUGAGUGAGGGAAAGGCCUUCGGGUCGUAAAGCUCUGUCAAGAGGAAAGAAGUGUACAAUGGCUAAUACCUGUUGUAUUUGACGGUACCUCUAAAGGAAGCACCGGCUAACUCCGUGCCAGCAGCUGC